AGCAUGAGUCCUAGUAUGAUUGGUAUUCUAAUCCAAGUAGGAUUAGGAAUACUAAAUCAGCUCGGUUAGUUGCCAGGCUAUGUUCAGCAUAUAUAUAUAUAUAUAUAUAUAUAUAUAUAUGCGUGUACCCCGUCCUUGUAACAUAACCAGAUCAAGAAAGAUCAAAAGUAAUAGAAAGUUUAUCAGGCUCGAGACAAGCCUGUAG
rnacentral:lncRNA from 1 species